rnacentral:sRNA from 1 species
UAAAUGUUGAAUUUGCUCUUCACAAGACUAGAUUUCAUCCCUCAAGUAUUUUUCAAAGUUCCACCUCUCGGAAAAAUAUAUUUAUUUCGGUGAAAUAUAAGUGUUGAACUUGCUCAUCACAAGAC